CCCAGACUCCUACGGGAGGCAGCAGUGGGGGAUAUUGCACAAUGGGGGGAACCCUGAUGCAGCGACGCCGCGUGGGUGAAGGAGCGUUUCGGCGCGUAAAGCCCUAUCGGCAGGGAAGAAGGAGGACGGUACCUGACUAAGAAGCCCCGGCUAACUACGUGCCAGCAGCCGCGGUAAUACGUAGGGGGCAAGCGUUAUCCGGAUUUACUGGGUGUAAAGGGGGCGCAGACGGCAGCGCAAGCCAGGAGUGAAAGCCCGGGGCCCAACCCCGGGACUGCUCUUGGAACUGCGCGGCUGGAGUGUCGGAGAGGCAGGCGGAAUUCCUAGUGUAGCGGUGAAAUGCGUAGAUAUUAGGAGGAACACCAGUGGCGAAGGCGGCCUGCUGGACGAUGACUGACGCUGAGGCUCGAAAGCGUGGGGAGCAAACAGGAUUAGAUACCCGUGUAAC
rnacentral:rRNA from 1 species